rnacentral:rRNA from 1 species
GACGAACGCUGGCGGCGUGCUUAACACUUGCAAGUCGAACGGAAAGGCCCUGCUUUUGUGGGGUGCUCGAGUGGCGAACGGGUGAGUAACACGUGAGUAACCUGCCCUUGACUUUGGGAUAACUUCAGGAAACUGGGGCUAAUACCGGAUAGGAGCUCCUGCUGCAUGGUGGGGGUUGGAAAGUUUCGGCGGUUGGGGAUGGACUCGCGGCUUAUCAGCUUGUUGGUGGGGUAGUGGCUUACCAAGGCUUUGACGGGUAGCCGGCCUGAGAGGGUGACCGGCGCCGGGGGGACGGCCGGCCGGCCGCGGCUACGGGGGGGGGGAGCGGUGGGGGAUGUGGGAGGGCGGGAGGGAGGCAGGGGCCGAAACGCUGGGGGGGGGGCGGCGGCGUUGGGGUGGUCAACUGUUUGCGCGUGGGACGAAGGGGGAGUGACGGUGAUGGGUAAAGCAGCACCGGCUACCUACGUGCCAGCGGCCGCGGAAAUAAGCGAAAGCGCACACGUCUGAAC